UACGUAGGGGGCAAGCGUUGUCCGGAUUUAUUGGGCGUAAAGAGCGUGUAGGCGGCUAGAUAGGUCCGUUGUGAAAACUCGAGGCUCAACCUCAAGCUGUCGGUGGAAACCACAUGGCUAGAGUCCGGAAGAGGAGAGUGGAAUUCCUGGUGUAGCGGUGAAAUGCGCAGAUAUCAGGAAGAACACCAAUGGCGAAGGCAGCUCUCUGGGACGGUACUGACACUGAGACGCGAAAGCGUGGGGAGCGAACAGG
rnacentral:rRNA from 1 species